AUUUAUGUAAUAUAAAAUAUUAUAUCUGACUUCCAAUCAGAAAAUCUAGCAAUAGCAUAAAUA
rnacentral:tRNA from 1 species